rnacentral:rRNA from 1 species
CGCUGGCGGCGUGCUUAACACAUGCAAGUCGAACGAUGAAGCCUAGCUUGCUAGGUGGAUUAGUGGCGCACGGGUGAGUAAUAUAUAGAUAACGUGCCUCUUAGUCUGGGAUAGCCAUUGGAAACGAUGAUUAAUACUAGAUACUCCUUCUCUAUCAAAUUAGAGUCGGGAAAGUUUUUCGCUAAGAGAUCGGUCUAUAUCCCAUCAGCUAGUUGGUAGUGUAAGAGACUACCAAGGCAAUGACGGGUAGCGGGUUUGAGAGGAUGAUCCGCCACACUGGUACUGAGACACGGACCAGACUCCUACGGGAGGCAGCAGUGAGGAAUAUUGCACAAUGGAGGAAACUCUGAUGCAGCAACGCCGCGUGGAGGAUGACGCAUUUCGGUGUGUAAACUCCUUUUAUAUGUCAAGAAAAUGACGGUAGCAUAUGAAUAAGCACCGGCUAACUCCGUGCCAGCAGCCGCGGUAAUACGGAGGGUGCAAGCGUUAUUCGGAAUCACUGGGCGUAAAGGACGCGUAGGCGGGAUGCCAAGUCUGAUGUGAAAUCCUAUGGCUUAACCAUAGAACUGCAUUGGAAACUGGUAACCUAGAGUAUGGGAGGGGGAGAUGGAAUUAGUGGUGUAGGGGUAAAAUCCGUAGAUAUCACUAGGAAUACCGAAAGCGAAGGCGAUCUCCUGGAACAAUACUGACGCUAAGGCGUGAAAGCGUGGGGAGCAAACGGGAUUAGAUACCCCGGUAGUCCACGCCCUAAACGAUGUUCACUAGUCGUCGGGAUGCUAGUCAUCUCGGUGAUGCACUUAACAGAUUAAG